GGAAGAAACUGAGGAACCAGAUUGUGACGUAUAAAAUGCUUGAAUUUUCCAAAGUCAAACUCAAAGUCUGCUUUCCAAAAAUCAGAGAUAUGAGCAGAUUUGGUGAUGAGACGAAGGAUCUGAGGAAGCAGUCUUUGCACUACAGGACACCUGAUUAUUCUCAGUUGAAACUAAAAGUCCAUUUUUCCCCAAAAACUCCUACACAUCACCAA